rnacentral:rRNA from 1 species
UACAGAGGGUGCGAGCGUUUGUUCGGAAUUAUUGGGCGUAAAGCGCUUGUAGGCGGCUUGUUAAGUCGCGUGUGAAAUCCCCAGGCUUAACCUGGGAAGUGCGCGCGAAACUGGCGAGCUUGAAUGCCGGAGAGGGUCGCGGAAUUCCCGGUGUAGAGGUGAAAUUCGUAGAUAUCGGGAGGAACACCAAUGGCGAAGGCGGCAUCCUGGACCGGCAUUGACGCUGAGGAGCGAAAGCCAGGGGAGCAAACGGG